ACCUCUUUUUGGUUUUCUGUCCCAAAUCAAGUGUAGCAUCUAUUUUAAUCAGUUUAAUAUCUGAUACAUCCUUUACUGAACAAGCACUUAGUACAAUGUUCUGCCAAGCAUACACACUCAAU
rnacentral:snRNA from 2 species